rnacentral:rRNA from 1 species
GUAAGGAAUAUUGGGCAAUGGAGGCAACUCUGACCCAGCCAUGCCGCGUGAAGGAUGACGGCCCUAUGGGUUGUAAACUUCUUUUAUACGGGAAUAAACCCGGGUACGUGUACCCGGCUGAAUGUACCGUAAGAAUAAGGAUCGGCUAACUCCGUGCCAGCAGCCGCGGUAAUACGGAGGAUCCAAGCGUUAUCCGGAUUCAUUGGGUUUAAAGGGUGCGUAGGCGGAUUUGUAAGUCAGCGGUGAAAUCCUACAGCUUAACUGUAGAACUGCCGUUGAUACUGCAAGUCUUGAGUACAUUUGAUGUGGGCGGAAUGUGUCAUGUAGCGGUGAAAUGCUUAGAUAUGACACGGAACACCAAUUGCGAAGGCAGCUCACAAAACUGUAACUGACGCUGAGGCACGACAGCGUGGGGAUCAAACAGGAUUAGAAACCCCAGUAGUCC